CAAAGAAUAGUUUAAGCAAAAAUAAUAAUUUUGGAGGUUAUUGAUAGAAGUAAAUUCUUUCUUUGA
rnacentral:tRNA from 1 species